ACUUUUGAUAGAGAGUUUAAAGAUUACUAAAGAGAAACUGUUUAGGAUUAAUUCUAUAUGAAACUCCUAAGAUGUAAAGAUAUCCAGGAGUUUAGCAAGAUAACCCUGAGCAAAGCAAUCCUGAAAUCUUCAAGCUAUUCAAAACCAUCGGAGAAUAAUUUGGCAAGAAUAAGCAAGAUCUAGAAGAGCAUUUAAACACCUCAAAGCUCGCAUCAGAUUUUUCACCGUGUUGAGAGAUGAAAAUAAACUCUAAACCUACGUCUUCUUUCAAAACGAGUGCAUAAAAGAUUCCAAAGAGUGUGUUUUACAAGACCCCUACUUUUCCCAGAUGCUCAAAAAGUAA